CCGAUGACUGGGUGGGUGCGUGCGUGCGUGCGUGCGCCCAAAGAACGCCAGCUUGCUUCCUUUGUGUUUCAUUGAACCGCAUCAGGCAGGCACUUCCCAUCCUUUGAGUCCAAGUGAAACGCCGGGCCGAAUCAUAUUUUGAUGAGCACUUUGGCAAGUUGUCUCUCCCUUCCUGCCAGCAGUCUGAAACAACUGUUUCCAAUCAACCUUUCUCUUGAAUGGGCUUUCUGUACAAUCCAAAUGUUAAUUGUACAUAGAUAUGUAUGAUAUAUGAUUAAAAAAAAUCUCUAUGUUGCCACUUUGGGCUAAAGUUUCUGUGAGUGCUAUAUCAAUAAAUUUGUACUUUUACUUUGUGCGCAGCAUGCGAAGACUAACUGUUGAGUUCUUUCGAGUUCUUCUGUAGCAGCAGCCCGCCCGCCCGCCCACCCACUCUCACAAACGUACUUCCACGUAUCACUUGCAAAGAUAGAGUCAGUUGUCAGCAUAGUAGCCAAACGAUGAGGCGCCUCGAGACAGUCUCCUUUUGAAUUGGUUGCAAGAUGUGGAGGGAGUAUCGUCCUCAGUUAUGAAGCACUCUUGGAGUGUGCUUUUUCUCUCUAUCUUGGCAGUGCUGCAUCUCACUUCAAGUGUCAGCUAUUGUGAUGACUGCCUGCAAAUCACGGUGGAUGACACAAUUUACAAGACUCCACUUGGGGAAUACUUUGAGAUUAAAUGUUAUAUUAUCAGCACGGAGCAAUUGUCGAACAAUGUCGCCUGGUAUAAGUUGGAAGGUGACAAAUUUGUGCCGGUGACCGUUGACUCUCAUAUUGAGAUCAAAUCGGAGAAGUUAAGCAAUGUGACAACGAUGCUGUUAUGUUUCACAAAUAUACAACAAAGCAAUGCAGGUUACUAUCGCUGCGAAAGUGGAUCGGCCGUAGGACACACCAUCAACGUGUCUGUGUAUGAUAAUGACAUCAUGGCCGACAUCUCAUUGAGGAAUGACACCACAGCUAUGUCAAAGGAAGAGAUCAGAUGGAUGUACGUGUACUCCGCUGCAGGCACGAUUGCAUUUGUCGUCAUGGUGAUAUUUGUUUCUAUCAUUUCACUGCGACGGUGUAAAGGUGAGGCGUUUUCAUCCAGAUAUCUUUUUGUGUUUACGUGACACAGUUAUACUUGUUUUUUUGUGGUUGUCAUUUUAAUGACAUUUUUAUUGCAUCAUUUUAUACAUCUUUGAGGACUAAACAUUUUUAAAGAAAUAACACCUAGGCCGACCGACCAUCCUACUGUGUUGUCAUUGUGGUGAUACGAGAUGUGGUGAUUAAGAGAGCCAACUAUCAAUCACCUGUUGUGAAUUUUGCACUCAUGCAUCUUUUUUAGAAAACAGCAGGUCAUGCAAAAAGUACUGAAAUGCACAUUGAAAACUUUAGAAAAGUUCACCUCUAAAUGUUAUAUUAUUGAUAUAUUUUUUAGUUAUUUAUUUAUUCAUUCAUUCAUUUAUCCAUGUGUUUGUUUAUUGAUUUAGUAUUUAUUUUGUUUGUUUUUAUAUACAUUUUUAGGUCCAUCCUGGUAUUUCACCCAAAAGCCAAAGAUGUACCUCUAUACUUGAGAAUUGUGUAUAUGUACUAUAUUUGGAUUUAAAUAUGAAUACAUCCACGUUUAUAAAGCAAAACAUAUUUGAUCUAAUAACAUUACAUCUCCUUCAUGCAGGUCACGCGACCCGAACAGAAACUGAACAAAGCAGAGGCCAACCACAAAGUGUGCCAACCCCCUCCGGCAGCUACAUUUACAGCGAGAUGAGCGCAGAAGAAGGAAAGCACUCAAAAACAAGCAGCAGAGUGAAAGACGACAGAUCCGUCACGUAUGCCACUCUCGACCACCAGCCGCUUGCCGCCGCCGCCGCCGGUACUCCCGCGAGACCGAGGAGGCUUCAAGAAGAAAGUUCACACUAUGCAGAUAUACUACUGGACGAUCGGCUAUGACACAUGAUGUCAUGAAAGUCACCUUUCAUCUGCAUUCAAGCGAGGGAAAUGACUCGUUUCACAUCAGCUUCCUCUCACAUCCCAAAUGGCAAUCGUGGUUUUGGACGAAUGAGAGGUUGUCACACUCGAUCGGCGGGGGAUCAUUGUUGCCAC